rnacentral:rRNA from 1 species
UGAGUAACCUGCCUUCAGCUUUGGGAUAACCCUCGGAAACGGGGGCUAAUACCGGGUAUUCAGCUUCUGCGGCAUCGUGGGGGUUGGAAAGUUUUUCGGCUGGGGAUGGGCUCGCGGCCUAUCAGCUUGUUGGUGGGGUAAUGGCCUACCAAGGCGGCGACGGGUAGCCGGCCUGAGAGGGUGACCGGCCACACUGGGACUGAGACACGGCCCAGACUCCUACGGGAGGCA